CGCCCGGCCUCUGGAGGGGCGCCCGGUCCCAGGGGGGCGCGCGCGGGGUCCGGCAGGUAUGUGUCCAGAGCAUCGUGCGUAACACGCACGGAGAAAGAACUGGGUGGUCUCCGUUGUCGCCUGUUAAAGCCCAAGCACGUAGUCGCGGGGACGCAGUAACCGUACGGAAGGCUCUUCUCCAAAACGCUCUGCGGACAGACAGCACAAACAGAAGUGAGUGGAGAAGCCCCGAAGCCCUUCUCAUUCCGGAAAAAGAUUCUGGGUUUCGGUUUUUGUUGGGAUCCCGCGCUAAAGAGCAAAUUAUUCCCUUAAAUGGAAAUUCCACUUGUUAAAAUGGAAAGGAAGACUCUUUAGUAUUGAUGAGAUAGGUGUCAAGACUAUGGCUACAGGAGAGAGAUGUCUGCUCGCCCCUGAGAACAGCAAAGACAGCUGGGGAGUAUGGCCCACAGACUGGGGAGGCCAGUGGAUGAAAUUUCCUAGAGGACCGUGGGCCGGGGGUUCUUGCAGGCGGUGGGCCUGGUGAUCAGAUAGCAAGGGUGGGAGAUUCUCUCCAAACUGAUUUCUCAGGAUUCUUGCUACAACUGGGCUGGGUAGACAGAAGCCUGGAGGGGCAGGGAUGUGUUCAAGACAGCCGCCCAGUGGACAAGAGAGCUCAGGGGAGCCUGACUAAAAUUGGGGCGAGCAGAGAGUUUUACCGAACUUUUCAGACUGUCCCUGAGAUUUGAGGGAAAUAGUUCUUUCUCCAAGUCUUGGUGGCCAUUUCUAUUUAAUGCGUAUGUGAAUUCUACUUCUCUCUGCCGUGGAAGGGGCUACAGUAAAGCUGUGGAGCUCUUAAUACAUAAAAUGUAGUAUGACUCACAUCUUUGAAGUGUAAAUACCAUGGACCACCCACCCGAGACCAAAGAGGUCCAGUCGAUGGAUGGAGAGCAUUAGUCAAACAUUGGAAGGAGGAAAUCAGACUUUUUUGUUUGUUUUGACGAGCAGUUCUUUUUGUGUGGAACGUUAGCAUGUGAGCAGCGGGAGUUAACUCUGAGCCCAGACUGACUGACGUUCCCAUCUCAGUUUUUCUGGCAAUGACUGGUUGGAAUGGAGUGGUGAGGAGGGUGUCGGCAGGAGAAGGGUACCGGGCAGUGUCGGCGCCUCCCCUUACAACAAAGCAUUCAUGCACGUCACGAGAUGACCAAAGAGAACGAUUAUGGCAUGGUUUUGGUCCCUGAGACCUGAUGUCCCCAUGUGGCUUCGACUAGAUUUUCCCCGGGAAGAGGCCUGCCAGCAGUGACCCACCUGAAUUCUUGACUGUGAACUCUAAGCCCACCAUCAGUUACUGUCCUGGGACCUGCUUUUGCACGAGGCCGUAACUGCUGCCAAGGCGUACUUGCAGGAGCCAAGUGCGAGGAUGGAAACCAGUAGGUUCCUCUCUCAGCCUCUGCAAAGCCAAGUCCAUGUCUUGAGAUGCUUCUCUAGACGACUGAAGCCGGUCUCGGAAUGCACAGCCAGUGUGCAGGGGCCUCUGAAGUUCCCGUGAAGAAAAGGGGUUCUGGACUGGCAUCCUUCCUGAACAUAUUCUGGAGUGGGUAAGGCAGACCCCUGAUAAACACCGGGGGGCCUCUCCUGACCAUAAAGCCUGCCAUGGAAGUAGUGUAUUUCCAGGUAGAUGUACAGCUGGAUGGCCGGUGCUCUGCAUUCACUGAGGAAAUCCCAGCAGUGCCCAAAGCAGACCUGUCAGGAUUCCGAGGGGUUGGCAACGGGGACUGCCCUCACCCACGACACGCAACAGAACAGAUGGAUCAGCCUCCGUGGCACAAAGGCAUGAAGUUAUUCUGCAUUUGUGUCCUGAUCAGUAUGGCUAAGUGGGCCGGGUCAGCUGCCUGUUGGCCGCACUGUGUUGCCUACUGCUCGCUGCUGGUUGCCGUCCUCAUUGCAGCCGAGGACACACCAUGACAGCCCCAGUAGUAGCGGCUGUGCCCUCGUCCCGAAGUGGAACGGCCCCUUCUUUAGAUUGUUGAUGGCUGCAGUGAAGAUUCGUUCAUAUGUGGAAAACUCCUAGAGGAGCUGUAAUCGCCAGACGAUCCUGGUCACCUGGGGUAACAGAUAACCCAACCCAAGUCAAGUCUGUGCCACACAUCCUAACGGCUGUGAUUCCUUGGGCAACUGUGAAAUCAGAGUAUUGGCACAUAAAGGGGGAAACAUGACAUUGGGAUCCCACACUUUUAUGAUUCCCCAAUAUCAAAAGGGAGGGCGGAGCCCAAAGGCCAUAGAAAUCCCCCUUAUGACAGAAAGAAAACAGGUUCCUAGGGAUAUGUUGGUGGAAUGGAACCAAAAUAUCUUUAUUAUUACUGCCAGAUCAUUGGGUAUACCUAUGGCACAAGUAUCUAUGACAGAAUAUGGCCUCGUUGCCCCUCGACCAAUUACAUGUACUGUGGGAAACUGGACCGUAAGAGUUUGCACCAAGCCCCAUCUCACUCUAACCCAUUAGAAUCAAGAGAAAACUAAGGAGCAAUAUGCUGGGAUGUAUAGAAAUAAAACAGAUAAUGUGACAACAGAAGGAAAAAGAUAUUCAAGGUCAAUAGAAGAUACAGGAGCUAUUAAAAUAACUGGAGGACUAUUUCACA